GGGAAAGUAGCUCAGCGGUAGAGUGCAUGCCUUGCAAGCAUGAGGCCCUUGGGUUCGAUUCCUCAGCACCA
rfam:Dipodomys ordii contig_4455, whole genome shotgun sequence.